rnacentral:rRNA from 1 species
GACGAACGCUGGCGGCGUGCUUAACACAUGCAAGUCGAACGGAGAUUAUUAAUGAAGCUUGCGAUUUAAUAAUCUUAGUGGCGGACGGGUGAGUAACGCGUGGGCAACCUACCCAUAAGAGGGGGAUAACAGCUGGAAACGGCUGCUAAUACCGCAUAAACUUUUUAAGACACAUGUUUUAAAAAGGAAAGGUGGCGCAAGCUAUCGCUUAUGGAUGGGCCCGCGUCUGAUUAGCUAGUUGGUGGGGUAACGGCCUACCAAGGCAACGAUCAGUAGCCGGCCUGAGAGGGUGGACGGCCACACUGGGACUGAGACACGGCCCAGACUCCUACGGGAGGCAGCAGUGGGGAAUAUUGCGCAAUGGGGGAAACCCUGACGCAGCGACGCCGCGUGAGCGAAAGAAGGCCUUAGGGUUGUAAAAGCUCUGUUCUAUGGGACGAAAGUCCUUGACUGUGAAUAAUGGUCAAGGUUGACGGUACCAUAAGGAGGAAGCCCCGGUAACCUACGUGCCAGCAGCCGCGGUAA